GGCGGGCCUCCCCGCAUUGUGGUGUAGUGAACCUGGUCAGGUCCGGAAGGAAGCAGCCACAGCUAUUUUCUGCAAGUGCCGGGGGCAAGGCUCGCCUCC
rnacentral:SRP_RNA from 1 species